rnacentral:rRNA from 1 species
CCUACGGGUGGCAGCAGUCGAGAAUCAUUCACAAUGGGGGAAACCCCGAUGGUGCGACGCCGCGUGAGUGAAGAAGGUCUUCGGAUUGUAAAGCUCUUUCGGACGUGACGAUGAUGACGGUAGCGUCUAAAGAAGCACCGGCAAACUUCGUGCCAGCAGCCGCGGUAAUACGAAGGGUGCGAGCGUUGUUCGGAAUUACUGGGCGUAAAGGGAGUGUAGGCGGAUAUGUAAGAUAGCGGUGAAAUGCCGGGGCUCAACCCCGGAACUGCCAUUAUGACUAUGUAUCUAGAGUAAUGGAGAGGAUAGCGGAAUACCCAGUGUAGAGGUGAAAUUCGUAGAUAUUGGGUAGAACACCGGUGGCGAAGGCGACUAUCUGGCCAUUUACUGACGCUGAGGCUCGAAAGCAUGGGGAUCAAACAGGAUUAGAUACCCUAGUAGUC